rnacentral:lncRNA from 1 species
AUAAGAUCGAAGCCACCUUGUGAAGCCCAGAAAACACAUCCAGGAGGUACUCACGAAGUAUGUAAAACCGAAAGCGGACAGGGGGGUAUUAUUCCAUAUAUAUACGGGUGUUAUUUUUAUGGGUACAGAAGGAGGCAGCCGAGGGGUGCUUUCCGUGGCGAGAUACUCCCCCGGUGCCGCAUCCCCCGAGCCCAUCCCCGCACACGGCAGUGCGCUGGGUGCCGAUCCGUGCACACUGCCGGCCCCCCCCGCGCUGCUCCCGCUCCCCGCACCCCGCCACCAGGGCGCCGGAUCUGGCCCCGAGGGGACCGGCGGCGCCCGGCGGCUGAGCGAGCGCAGCCGGGAGGGGGCCGGCACCGGGACCGGGGCCGUGUUUGGGGCCGGGGCCGUGUUUUGGGGCCGGGGGCGGUGCCGUGCCUGACGCGGCGGCGGGGCGGAGCGGGGGCCGUACAAACGGGCUGGCGCCGGGCGCUGCUCGCAGGAGGAGCGGAGCGGAGCGGGCGGCAGCGGGCGCUCGUUACACCGCCCGCCCCGCCGGCACCGGGAGCGCUUCCCACGGCUCCGCCACCGUCUCCUCCGCCGGUACCGGCACCCACGGGCGCCCAUGGCACGGCGCGGAGGGCUCUGCCCCACGGCUCCGCGCCCCCGCGCUCUGAUCUCCCUCUAGAGAC